CUACGGGGGGCUCCAGUGGGGAAUAUUGGACAAUGGGGGAAACCCUGAUCCAGCAAUGCCGCGUGUGUGAAGAAGGCCUGCGGGUUGUAAAGCACUUUCGGUUGGGAGGACUGCUUCUAGCACUAAUAUUGUUGGAAGUUGACGUUACCUUCAGAAGAAGCACCGGCUAGCUCCGUGCCAGCAGCCGCGGUAAUACGGAGGGUGCAAGCGUUAAUCGGAAUUACUGGGCGUAAAGCGCGCGUAGGCGGCUAGAUCAGUCGGGUGUGAAAGCCCCGGGCUUAACCUGGGAACUGCAUCCGAUACUGUCUAGCUUGAGUACAGGGGAGGAGAGUGGAAUUCCACAUGUAGCGGUGAAAUGCGUAGAUAUGUGGAGGAACACCAAUGGCGAAGGCAGCUCUCUGGCCUGAUACUGACGCUGAGGUGCGAAAGCGUGGGGAGCAAAAAGGAUUAGAUACCCUGGUAGUC
rnacentral:rRNA from 1 species